UACGGAGGAUGCAAGUGUUAUCCGGAAUCACUGGGCGUAAAGCGUCUGUAGGUGGUCAAAUAAGUCAACUGUUAAAUCUUGAGGCUCAACCUCAAAAUCGCAGUCGAAACUAUUAGACUAGAGUAUAGUAGGGGUAAAGGGAAUUUCCAGUGGAGCGGUGAAAUGCGUAGAGAUUGGAAAGAACACCGAUGGCGAAGGCACUUUACUGGGCUAUUACUAACACUCAGAGACGAAAGCGAGGGGAGCAAAUGGG
rnacentral:rRNA from 1 species